GGAGAGGUGGCAGAGCGGUCUAUUGCACUGGUCUUGAAAACCAGAGUCGGGGUAACCCGACCCAGGGUUCGAAUCCCUGCCUCUCCG
rnacentral:tRNA from 1 species